UACGUAGGUGGCGAGCGUUGUCCGGAUUUAUUGGGCGUAAAGCGCGCGCAGGCGGUUCGCUCCGUCCGGUGUGAAAUCUCCCGGCUCACCUGGGAGGGGGCGCUGGAGACUGGCGAACUGGAGGCAGGGAGAGGUCGGUGGAAUUCCCGGUGUAGUGGUGAAAUGCGUAGAGAUCGGGAGGAACACCAGUGGCGAAAGCGGCCGACUGGACCUGACCUGACGCUGAGGCGCGAAAGCGUGGGGAGCGAACCGG
rnacentral:rRNA from 2 species